GCAUGGCCGAAUUCUGGGUUUCUCUUGAAGUGGUCAACUCAGUCAGACACCAUGCAAAAUCAUAAUUUUCACUCACUUUGCAACGAAUGACAACUCGUGUGGCUCAUUCUACUGUCGGAGUGAAUACAUUU